GAUUUGGUUUAGGAUUUGGUUAGGAUUUGGUUUAGGAUUUAGGAUUCGGAUUAGAGUUUGAUUUAGGGUUUAGGAUUUGGUUAGAAUUUGGUUUAGGAUUUAGGAUUUGGAUUAGGAUUUGGUUUAGGAUUUGGUUAGGAUUUGAUUUAGGGUUUGGUUUAGGAUUUCGUUAGGAUUUUAUUUAGGGUUUGGUUUAGGAUUUGGUUAGGAUUUGAUUUAGGAUUUAGGGUUUGAUUUAUGAUUUAGAAUUUGGAUUAGGAUUUAGUUUAGGAUUUAGGAUUUGGAUUAGGAUUUGAUUAGGGUUUAAUUUAGGAUUUAGGAUUUGAUUAGGAUUUAGUUGUGGUUUGAUUUAAGGUUUAUUUAGGGUCUGAUUUAGGAUUUAGGAUUUUAUUAGGAUCUAAGAUUCAAUUAGUUUUGGCCUAAAGUUUGAAUGAAGUUCAAUAGGAUUUUAACUAGAAUUAAAUUAAGAUUGAAUUGAAAUAUAUUUGAGUGAUAUUUGUGAUCCUUCUAAUAUUUCUUUAAGAAUUCUUAUUAUUUGUUUGAAAUUUCUUUGAGGUUUUUUUGAAUUUGAUUAAGCUUGCUUAGCAUUAUUAUGGUCUAAUUAGAGCAUUUUUAGUAUUCUAUUAGAAUUAGGAUUUUAUUAUUGUAAUUUCUAUUCUUCCUUCCAUA
rnacentral:lncRNA from 1 species